UACGUAGGGUGCAAGCGUUGUCCGGAAUUAUUGGGCGUACAGAGCGCGUAGGCGGUCUGCUAAGUCUGGUGUGAAAGCCCUCGGCUUAACCGAGGAAGUGCAUUGGAUACUGGUAGGCUUGAGUAUGAGAGAGGAUUGUGGAAUUCCUGGUGUAGCGGUGAAAUGCGUAGAUAUCAGGAGGAACACCGGUGGCGAAGGCGGAUCUCUGGGCCGUAACUGACGCUGAGGAGCGAAAGCAUGGGGAGCGAACAGG
rnacentral:rRNA from 1 species